CAGCUGGUCACCGGCCAAACUCUGUAAUGAGGACGGGAACAGUAGGCUAAUAAUCUACCAGCAACAGGGAGGAUGCAUCUCACUGUGAAAUGCUUCAUCUUUUGGCAUCGAGUCCUUUUCUAAGCUAUAAUUGGUGUUUCCGUGAAGGCGGGGGCACAAGGAUUGGACCCAUUGGUCCACCGGAAUCAUGGAAAUUAUUGUUGGAGUAACUCUCAACGCGGUACGCGGCUACGGUUAGCGGAACAUGGGAAACUUGAAUCGGAAAGCUUAUCUGCGGAACGUUUGCUGGGAGCGUUUUCCCAGCGAACGCCCCCACAGCCUUUGGAAAAAAGUUUUUGAGGGGAAAAAAGUUGCCUUAUAAGGAAAGAACAGCCAUGUGCUCUGAUAAAAUUGCCAGACGAUGUACCUGCAAACUGCCAGCUGGGGCGUUCGGAAAUGCCAUGUCUGGCAGCGAACGUUCGCCCCCUAUUGAGGUCCUGAAUCGGUCAGUUGCUGUUACAAGCUUCUGGAGAGUUGCUACUGUUGUGAGAUUUAUAGAAUAAUUGUUUUGCAUUUCCCGAAUCACCAUUACGGUGCAUUUCUCUUUAUUAAAUGAGAAGUGCCAAUCUGGUUCCAGAAAUGUUUGUUCGGAGGAGUCCAUGAAGAAAACACUGAAAUUUAUUAGCCCCUUGACACACAAGAACUCUGGAUCCUGGAGAAAAGUUUACAGACUUCUGGCUCUCAUUUCGUACUCCCGAAAAUUCGAUGUUUUAUGGGUUACGCUUCUCACUGCAUCCAAGAGUUUCCAUUGACUUGAGCCGGUCACCUUUUCUAUACACCACUAGAAAGUUUGAUUAGCGACAAUGGACUGCUCAGCUGUGUGGUCAGUGGGAUCAACUCUGACUGUGACGUGUUUACACUGCAUUGGUGCUUCCGUGAAGGUAGGGGUACAAGGACUAGACCACAUUGGUCCGCCGGAAGCAAUCGGGUAGUAACUGUCACCCAAUAAAGAAGUGUGAAAAUCGUGGAAAGAACUAGGAGAGAUUUGUGGUUAUUUUGAAAUCAUCUUUAUUAGUUUCAUUCAGAUUUCAAUUUUUUUUAGAACA